rnacentral:rRNA from 1 species
GGGAGCUAACCUGGGGAACUGAAACAUCUAAGUACCCUUAGGAAAGGACAUCAACCGAGACUCCGUCAGUAGCGGCGAGCGAACGCGGACCAGGCCAGUGGCAAAGUUAAGUUAAGUGGAACAAUCUGGAAAGUUUGGCCAUAGUGGGUGAUAGCCCCGUACACGUAAUACGAAACUUUGUCCUCGAGUAGGGCGGGACACGUGAAAUCCUGUCUGAACAUGGGGAGACCACUCUCCAAGCCUAAGUACUCGUGCAUGACCGAUAGCGAACAAGUACCGUGAGGGAAAG